AAAGGCCAAUGCAUAAUACAAGGGAUUACACGAUUAACCCAAAUUUUCAUAAUCUAAGAUAUUCUAAUUAAUUCCAAAUUCCUAAUGAUCCAAAUAUUUACAUAAUUAUCACAAUAAAAAGGAUUUUAAAUUAAAAUUAUACAACAUGUCUCAAAAGUUUCUGUUACAUCAGAAAUAAUUAAAAAAUCUUGUAAAGCUGUAAGUACAGCAGUUUGAAGAGGCUCUUCUUGUAGCGCCCCCAAUUCCAAAAGCAAACGCCCCCCUUUUCUAAUCAACAUCGCUUCACCUGC
rnacentral:lncRNA from 1 species